AGGAGGAACAACCCCAGUGGCUGCAGCAGCUCUGGAGCCCUGGAUUCAGCUCCGGCAGGAACUCCGUCUGCAGGGCCUGGAGGCUCCGGGCGGGG
rnacentral:pre_miRNA from 1 species